UGGCUCAGAGGUUAAAGUGUUUGCCUGAAAUGCAGGAGACCUGGGUUCGAUCCCUAG
rnacentral:tRNA from 1 species